rnacentral:rRNA from 1 species
AUUGAACGCUGGCGGCAGGCCUAACACAUGCAAGUCGAACGAGUGGCGGACGGGUGAGUAAUGUCUGGGAAACUGCCCGAUGGAGGGGGAUAACUACUGGAAACGGUAGCUAAUACCGCAUACCAUCGGAUGUGCCCAGCUGGGAUUAGCUAGUAGGUGGGGUAAUGGCUCACCUAGGCGAAGAUCCCUAGCUGGUCUGAGGGGAUGACCAGCCACACUGGAACAGGGACACGGUCCAGACUCCAACGGAAGGCAGCAGUGGGGAAUAUUGCACAAUGGGCGCAAUCCUGAUGCAGCAAUGCCGCGGGUAUGGAGAAGGCCUUCGGGUUGUAAGGUACUUUCAGCGAGGAGGCGUUACUCGCAGAAGAAGCACCGGCUAGCUCCGUGCCAGCAGCCGCGGUAAUUC